rnacentral:lncRNA from 10 species
GAAACCCUUGGGCUCAGCCAGAGCUGAGCAGAUGAUGGGUUGACCUGCCUGCAGAGAGGAGCUACUCUCUCUGCUAAUAGCAGGAGUUGUAGGGCGAACAGCUGCAGAGAGGAGCAACACACUCCAGGGCCUCCUGUCUGCUGAGAACUGCAGACAUGACGGGACGACCUGUCUACAGAGAGGAGCUUCCCACUCCAGGUUCUCCUCUCUGCUAGGAGCUGAACACUCGUUGGGACACCCUGACUGUGGAAAGGAGCUACCCGCUGUGGGUCUAUUGUGAACUGUUCUAUUGCUCAACAAAGCUCCUCUUCAUUUUGCUUGCCCUCCACUUGUCUGAGUUCUUGGUCGCAGGACAAGAACUUGGAGCCUGCUGAAUGGCAGAGCUAAAAGAGCUACAACACAGGGCUGAAACAUGCCCCUUAGCUCUCCACGUUGCAGGCAAAGAGGAGAAAAGAACCGUGGUCCCUCAGGGAGCUCAGACUUGGGAGUUCCCCAGGCCAGGGCUGUGACUCCCUCUUUGGGGUCCUGUGGUACCUGACGUUUUCAAGCUUCUGGGCACCACUGCGUUCCCCGGUGCCAGCCAGUGAAGCUGCUUGCAGUGCACCUGGUCUAGCCGCAGCCUGGCUGAGAGCCAGUGCCUGUGCCGGCACCUGGAGCUGCAGGUCCCGUUGCAGCAGCCAGUGUGUCUGACUAUGCAGUGGCCGGACCCCAUGCUCACUCACACACUCCAUGCCUGACUCUCCCUUGGCAGGCGUGGGAUCCAG